GUCCCAAGCCCGGGACGCGGCUCCGAGCCUCCGGCUGAUGGAGAUGUGCUCGGUCCUCCCAGGAGUGGCAGAGGUUGGGUAUGAUUGUCCAUCGGGGCCGGAAGCCAGUGUCAUCACUGUGACGGCGUUGCCAGCUGAAAGGUGCUGGCGAGAAACUGAAGAUUGACCAUGAGAAAGAAGGUGGAGAAACAGCUGCUGCCCGAGAGGCACAAGUAGCAGGCGGUCUGCAGGAUCCGGCCUUCCCAGGAGGGGGCCACAUCUGGAGACCUGGCAGCAGCCGCCUGUCUGGGGGCACCCGAAGUGUUGGUAAUGUGCAGGCUCCUGGCAAAGAGCAGAACCGUCCUGUACUGAAUCCAGGAAGGAGACCGCAGCCUCCAGUCCUGCCCCAAAGCCUUGGUUGGGACGGACACAGCCUUGCUGCCCCUUUCCUGAGCUGGCUAAGCUUAAGGGGCAAAGGCCCCCACCCCCAUCUGAGUAAGCGGUGCUGCUUGCUCAACUCCAGGAAUAUGUUAAUUCAAG
rnacentral:lncRNA from 1 species